GAAGCCUGAGAGCCCACUGGAGUAUGUGCCUGCCGCCAUUGUGCCGCCAUGUGAUCCGGCGCCCGGUUUAAAAGCUUACGGGGAGGGGGGGAGGGUACAGCGUGGAACGUUUCAUACUCCGCCACAUCUCUAGAAGCGUCCGGUGCAGGUGCUUUGUGGUGCAAUAUGUGGGAUAGCGAGGAGGCCUCGUAUGAGGAACACCGUAAGUUGAUUGACACAGUAAAUGUAAAAUGAUGCAUGUCCUUAGCCUAAAAGCAUAAUUGCUGAAGUCAUUUUGGAAAAUUGGCAGAAAACAAAGAAAGUCAUGAAACAUUUCAGAGUCAAGUUGCCUCCAAGCAACUUUUGCGGAUUAACACGACUUGGAUAACUACACAGACAUAUACACAAUUUUCAACAUAAUUUUAUUUUAAUUUAUUUAUUAAUAUUGUGACAGUGUGCUAAAUAGGACUUCAACAAUUAUGCUAUUAGGCUCAUGACUGACAAUGAUAAUCAUAUGUUUUUUUUGUAUGACAAAUGCUAAUUUUAUACAUUAAAAUGUACAGGGAUGUACACAGAAUGAUUCUUCCAUCCAUCCAUCCAUUUUCUGAACCGCUUUAUCCUCACAAGGGUCGCGGACAUGCUGGAGCCUAUCCCAGCCAACAUCGGGCAGUAGGCGGGGGACAACCUGAGCUGGUUGCCAGCCAAUCGCGGGGCACACGAAUAUGAACACUCAUUUGUGCUCACACAACUUGGAGUGUUCCAUUAACCUGCCGCACAUGUUUUUGGAGUGUGGGAGGAAACCGGAGUACCCGGAGAAAACCCACACAGGCACAGAGAGAACUGCGGAUGUGCGCAGCAGACUAUUUUGCUAAUCUAAUUGUUCAAUGAAAUUUAACUAUAAAGUUUAUCUAUACGUGUACAUAUUUCUCUCUCAUACAGUAUAUACAUAUAUAGAUAGAUUUAUAUAUAAAUGCUCAAUGUCAUUGUAGGGUAAUAUUACAAAUGAUGC